CAGCAGCCGCGGUAAUACGUAGGGCGCGAGCGUUGUCCGGAAUUAUUGGGCGUAAAGAGCUUGUAGGCGGUUUGUCGCGUCUGCUGUGAAAGCCCGGGGCUUAACCCCGUGGUGUGCAGUGGGUACGGGCAGACUAGAGUGCAGUAGGGGAGACUGGAAUUCCUGGUGUAGCGGUGAAAUGCGCAGAUAUCAGGAGGAACACCGGUGGCGAAGGCGGUUCUCUGGGCAUUACCUGACGCUGAGGAGCGAAAGUGUGGGGAGCGAACAGGAUUAGAUACCCUGGUAGUCCACACCGUAAACGUUGGGCGCUAGGUGUGGGACCUAUUCCAUGGGUUCCGUGCCGUAGCUAACGCAUUAAGCGCCCCGCCUGGGGAGUACGGCCGC
rnacentral:rRNA from 1 species